AACGAACGCUGGCGGCAGGCUUAACACAUGCAAGUCGAGCGCCCCGCAAGGGGAGCGGCAGACGGGCGAGUAACGCGUGGGAAUCUACCCAUCUCUACGGAAUAACGCAUGGAAACGUGUGCUAAUACCGUAUACGUCCUUCGGGAGAAAGAUUUAUCGGAGAUGGAUGAGCCCGCGUUGGAUUAGCUAGUUGGUGGGGUAAAGGCCUACCAAGGCGACGAUCCAUAGCUGGUCUGAGAGGAUGAUCAGCCACACUGGGACUGAGACACGGCCCUGACUCCUACGGGAGGCAGCAGUGGGGAAUAUUGGACAAUGGGCGCAAGCCUGAUCCAGCCAUGCCGCGUGAGUGAUGAAGGCCCUAGGGUUGUAAAGCUCUUUCACCGGUGAAGAUAAUGACGGUAACCGGAGAAGAAGCCCCGGCUAACUUCGUGCCAGCCGCCGCUGUAACAC
rnacentral:rRNA from 1 species